AUACGUAGGGGGCGAGCGUUGUCCGGAAUGAUUGGGCGUAAAGGGCGUGUAGGCGGCUUUGUAAGUCUGGAGUGAAAGUCCUGUUUUUAAGAUGGGAAUUGCUUUGGAUACUGCAGGGCUUGAGUGCAGGAGAGGUUAUCGGAAUUCCCGGUGUAGCGGUGAAAUGCGUAGAGAUCGGGAGGAACACCAGUGGCGAAGGCGGGUAACUGGACUGCAACUGACGCUGAGGCGCGAAAGUGUGGGGAGCAAACAGGAUUAGAUACCCUGGUAGUCCACACUGUAAACGAUGAAUGCUAGGUGUAGGGGGUAUCGACCCCUUCUGUGCCGCAGUAAACACAAUAAGCAUUCCGCCUGGGGAGUACGGCCGCAAGGUUGAAACUCAAAUGAAUUGGCGGGG
rnacentral:rRNA from 1 species